rnacentral:rRNA from 1 species
AUUGAACGCUGGCGGCAGGCCUAACACAUGCAAGUCGAACGGUAACAGAAAGCAGCUUGCUGCUUUGCUGACGAGUGGCGGACGGGUGAGUAAUGUCUGGGAAACUGCCUGAUGGAGGGAGAUAACUACUGGAAACGGUAGCUAAUACCGCAUAACGUCGCAAGACCAAAGAGGGGGACCUUCGGGCCUCUUGCCAUCGGAUGUGCCCAGAUGGGAUUAGCUAGUAGGUGGGGUAACGGCUCACCUAGGCGACGAUCCCUAGCUGGUCUGAGAGGAUGACCAGCCACACUGGAACUGAGACACGGUCCAGACUCCUACGGGAGGCAGCAGUGGGGAAUAUUGCACAAUGGGCGCAAGCCUGAUGCAGCCAUGCCGCGUGUAUGAAGAAGGCCUUCGGGUUGUAAAGUACUUUCAGCGGGGAGGAAGGGAGUAAAGUUAAUACCUUUGCUCAUUGACGUUACCCGCAGAAGAAGCACCGGCUAACUCCGUG